UAAUACGUAGGGCGCAAGCGUUGUCCGGAAUUAUUGGGCGUAAAGAGCUCGUAGGCGGCUUGUCACGUCGGGUGUGAAAGCCCGGGGCUUAACCCCGGGUCUGCAUCCGAUACGGGCAGGCUAGAGUGUGGUAGGGGAGAUCGGAAUUCCUGGUGCAGCGGUGAAAUGCGCAGAUAUCAGGAGGAACACCGGUGGCGAAGGCGGAUCUCUGGGCCAUUACUGACGCUGAGGAGCGAAAGCGUGGGGAGCGAACAGGAUUAGAUACCCUGGUAGUCCACGCCGUAAACGUUGGGAACUAGGUGUUGGCGACAUUCCACGUCGUCGGUGCCGCAGCUAACGCAUUAAGUUCCCCGCCUGGGGAGUACGGCCGCAAGGCU
rnacentral:rRNA from 1 species